CUUUGACGUUAGCGGCGGACGGGUGAGUAACACGUGGGUAACCUACCUAUAAGACUGGGAUAACUUCGGGAAACCGGAGCUAAUACCGGAUAAUAUUUCGAACCGCAUGGUUCGAUAGUGAAAGAUGGUUUUGCUAUCACUUAUAGAUGGACCCGCGCCGUAUUAGCUAGUUGGUAAGGUAACGGCUUACCAAGGCGACGAUACGUAGCCGACCUGAGAGGGUGAUCGGCCACACUGGAACUGAGACACGGUCCAGACUCCUACGGGAGGCAGCAGCC
rnacentral:rRNA from 1 species